rnacentral:rRNA from 1 species
AUACGUAGGGGGCGAGCGUUGUCCGGAAUGAUUGGGCGUAAAGGGCGCGUAGGCGGCGCGGUAAGUCUGGAGUGAAAGUCCUGCUUUCAAGGUGGGAAUUGCUUUGGAUACUGCCGCGCUUGAGUGCAGGAGAGGUUAUCGGAAUUCCCGGUGUAGCGGUGAAAUGCGUAGAGAUCGGGAGGAACACCAGUGGCGAAGGCGGGUAACUGGACUGCAACUGACGCUGAGGCGCGAAAGUGUGGGGAGCAAACAGGAUUAGAUACCCUGAUAGUCCACACUGUAAACGAUGAAUGCUAGGUGUAAGAGGUAUCGACCCCUUUUGUGCCGGAGUCAACACAAUAAGCAUUCCGCCUGGGGAGUACGGCCGCAAGGUUGAAACUCAAAUGAAUUGACGGGG